ensembl:lncRNA
CUUAACUUUAGCUGGUGGAACAACCGGUUACUACAGCGGAUCUACAACAGUGUUAAACAGGAAGAGGCCUUAGUGCUUCAUAUAUGUUUAAUCAGUGAAAUUGUUAACCGCAAUUAACCACUGAAGAUAUCCGGUGUUACAAAGGUGUCGUAAAGGGAGAGCACAGUUGUUGUUUUGGUUUCACUACCGGUUAGCAAACCAGCCUAGAGACGCAAUACUGCCACCUGUGGGCCACGAUGUGUAGCUAAAAUGUCUGCAGUGUGGACAUAUUUUAAAUUAGAUAAACAGCUGUUUGUCAUAUCGAAGCCGCAAAACUUUGGAGAGGAUGUAGUAACGGAGCAUGAUAGUAUUAGAUUUAGAAUAUUAAAUGACUACGAUCUGUAUCUGGGAAAAAAAAAACAUGAAUGGAACAUCCCUAAAAACAUCUGCCGCCAUCGGGUUCAUCUUCAGUCCGACCUCACCGUCUUUAGCUUUUAGUGGCCUUUCUGUCAGCACGUCUCAGUUAAUGUUCACCAGUCGGCUGACAACAUCCAAUCACUGCUUCAGCUUGAUUUGUUUUUAUGUUCUUCUACAGACUCCAUGUUAAUGUGUUGUUCCAGCUCUUCAUAUCAAACCAAACAGCUUCAUGUUCUGAAUAUCAGGUUUAAUUCUGGGUCUUUAGCUUUGUUUGCCAGCAGAGUUUUUUAUCAUCUGUUUAAUGUGGAGUCGCAGCAAAAACUGGGAGAAUCUGGUCCAUAUCUCUCAUUGUUUGCUUCCAUAUCGAGCCUUUUGUGUCUGAUUGAAUUACUGUUGCUGGUCCAGAAUCACCACCUCUUCACAUCCCUGCGCUCAGCACUGUACAUAAACACAUAUUUAUUUUUACGAACAGACUGAGAUGACGUCAAACAUUCGACUGAUGCUGCAUCGCAGAGGGGAGUUUCUGCUAUUUAUUCAGUUUAUCUCUACACGCUGUGCACAUUAAUCCACACAGACGCUGAUAUGCAGCUCAGAUUAUGUUUCACUCUGCAUCACUUUUCUGGGGGAAGCAUCCAUCACACUCUGGUGUCUUUAAUACAAAACUCCCCGAGAGAGAUAUAACAUUUCAGACUCAUCGCAGUCGACUUUUAUCUCCUGGGAAGAUUCAUACGCCACCGAUCCAGAAUUGGAUUGGGCCAAACCAUCUCGUCUCUCUGCAGGAGUCAAAUUGUAAAGUCCCAAUAAAAGCAGCGCCAACUGACACAUGAAAAUAAUAAGCAGCUGGGACCAGAUGGAGACUCUGGUUGUGCUGCAGCGUCUUCCCUCAUGCAUUACAGUAAUGUCGGAGCCGUUGUGUUUAAAUGGCCUCUUUCACAGCUUGGUUCGGGUCACAUCAAUGACAGCGGCAACGUUUCCUUCGUUCUGCUGCUGUUCAACACAAAAUCGACUCUCAGCCAGAGUGUGAUGGAUGAAAUUUCUGUCCAGAAAACCUCUGCAAGGUUCUACAUGCCUCUAAACAUUAUGCAAGUUCUUCUGAGCUCCAGCAGAGGUGUCUCAAGGUUCACCUGGAGCUGCAGGUGUUAGAAGGUUCACCUGGAGCUGCAGGUGUUAGAAGGUUCUCCUGGAGCUGCAGGUGUUAGAAGGUUCUCCUGGAGCUGCAGGUGUUAGAAGGUUCACCUGGAGCUGCAGGUGUUAGAAGGUUCACCUGGAGCUGCAGGUGUUAGAAGGUUCUCCUGGAGCUGCAGGUGUUAGAAGGUUCUCCUGGAGCUGCAGGUGUUAGAAGGUUCACCUGGAGCUGCAGGUGUCUGAACGUUCUCCUGGAGCUGCAGGUGUUAGAAGGUUCUCCUGGAGCUGCAGGUGUCUGAAGGUUCACCUGGAGCUGCAGGUGUUCCAGGUGUUUCUGGAAACUGUCUGUUCUUGAUUUGUGCCUUUUUAUCAACAGUUGAGUUCUUGAACGUCGCCUGUCUUGAUUGUUUCCAGCAGACCGAACUCUGCUUCGUACACUGGAUGAAUCACAACCUUCAUUCUUCUCAUCAUCUUCAUCUUUGUGUUUGGACACUGUUGCCACGGCAACGACGCAUGACCACUUGCUGUUUCUGAUUAUUUAUCAGUGAUGGGCUGUAUUGGGGAACGAUCAGCAGCGCUCCUGCCGAUGCGAGGACUCGUCCAGCCGUCCUGAUGCCUUCUCCUCCCUCCUACCUUGUAAUUAAGAGAAGACUUUUAUAGAGGUCACAGAUGAAAUAGAUAAAAUGCCAAUUUUGUAAGAAUGAUUUAUAAAAAAAAAAUAAACUCAUAUUU